CCGACGCCAUGGCGUCUAUACUUGUACCUUGCGGCUGGGUCUGGCGCCUGGGCCUAGCAGAAUGGAGCCGGUGCGAUGCUGAGCCGGCGGCCCGGCCUUCCAGCCCCCCGUGGGCGCCGCGCACACCUGAGGGAGCCGGACCGGGAAUGGACAGGAUGUGGAACAGGAGGCGCAGGAUCCCACCCUGAGGCAGGAAAUUUGGAGUGGAAGACUGCCCGCAGCCGUGGCCUCCCAUGAGGAGUGUCCCUUUCUCGAAUUUGGAGGACCGAGUGCUGGAAUGCAGUUUGUUGGCAGCAGUGGUGAAGGAGGCCAUCACCAGAGGAGUGCCCAUCAACAGUACUGCCAUCAACUCAAGAUUCUGACUGAAAGCCACCUCUUUUAUGGAAAAAGCUCCCCAAGUAUGUGUUUGCUGACCUUGUCCUGGUCAGGCACCUCUGAUAGCAUUCUGCCGCCACAGGACAUUUACACUACUACUUAAUAAAUUUGUUUCCAAAAUGAU